rnacentral:lncRNA from 1 species
UUUUUUUUUUAAAACGGUUUUUAUCUUAAAAAUGGACCACUUUUCAGAAUAUUAAUUGCUUUAUAAUAUUAACUAAAGGAAAUAAAAUAAAUGGGAAAGAUAUAAUAUUAAGAAUAUAAUAUUAAAAAUGUAACCUCUCUUCUGUAUAAGGCUAACAUUAAAGUGCAGUAUAUACUAGGAAGUGACUUCUAGAUCAUCUUUAAAGGACCAAUUGUUGGUUCAGACAAUAAGUUAAACACAUAAGGGGGUGAUCUGGACAAUUUACGAAUUGUAAUUAACAACUAAAACACUAAUUAAAACAUUAAUUAAAGAUAGGUUGGUCAUUAGCUCAAUUACAAUACUUCCAAUCCUUGAUUAGCAAUAAAUUAAAUGCUUCUCUCACCCUAUUCCAACACCAAUCAACCAACUAAGCGAAGAUUAAUUGGGUUUUCCUAAAAACUAUUAAGCACACGAAUUGCACACAUUCAAUCAAUUGUGCACCAUACAUAUUAAUGACUAAGUGAACAUUAAACCCCAAUUAGACCACUAAGUGUGUCCUUAUUGCGCACAAACAAAUUGGAUAUGAGCAAGGUUAGAACAGCAGAUUCACAAUAACAGUUUGAAAACCUCAUGGAAACAUUGCAACCUCACUAAUCACCAACCCAAACAAAUUUAGGCCAUCACCAAAAUGAAAUUAAAACACCAAAAUGAAAUUGAAUUCAUUAUUAAGCAAUGCGAACAAAACUGGAAAACCAAAUGAAUCUACAAAAAACGAAACUCACUACAAAAAAACGAAAUUCAAAACUGCAAGACGAACUCAAAACAGAAAACAUAAUUGCUUAUAGAAACGAAAUGGGGAAAACUAAAUGGGGGAAAAUAUAAUGGCAGCACCACAAAGACAAACACAAUCCAGUAAAAUGAAAUUCCAUUAAUCUAAAAACAAGUUCACAAAUAAGAUGAAAAUGAGAAAAAGAAAGAAAAUGAAAACCUAAAUGGAGAGCUUCCUAUGUUCACGUCCAAACCUCUAAAAAUGUAAAAUGAAGAAUGAGAAUGUGUCCAAUGGUGGCUGCUGCAUGGGCACACUAAACUAGGCCAGCCCCUAAAAUGGGUUUCUACCUAAAAUGGCCAAAAAUGGGCCAAUAGCUAAAUCUGGUCCAAAAAUACACUAAAAACGAGAUUACAAUUUAAUAUAAACUAAAAUGAUUAUGUGGAGGAUGUAGAAUGACGUGGCAACUCUUAAUGUCUCAAAAUAUGACUCCAAAGUUUGCCCUGAAAAUGAUAAUGAAAAUAAAUAAGCUCAAAUAAUUCAAAUUAAAUAAAAUAUGAAUUACUUGUCAAAUUAAGGCCAAAUAUCAAAAUUGAGGAAAUAUUUGUCAAAUUAAGCAUAAUUCCUUAAUUAAAUCUAGUACGAGAAGCUAAGUGAAUAAUAGAAAAUAUUGAUUCAUCACUAAUACUCUCAAGAAACCGAUUAGUUAAAAGACAAUUGUUAUUCUUCUUAUCCUUUUUAUUAACAUUUUUAAUUUAGAAAUAUCCUUGUCUGGUAGGCACUUUCUACUCAAUGCAACUCCUGUGAGUUGUAAAUCGACCAUUGAGCCAUGCUCUAACAGUAACUCGUGCAAUGUUCUUCUUGGCUACACCCUUUACACUAAGCUCAAGGUCUCUAAGGUUGCUUCUCUCUUCCAAAUAGACCCUAUUUGUCUUCUCACUACCAAUGUCUUUAGCAUAUCCUACUCUGAUGUAGAGCAUCACAUUCUCUCUUGCAAUUUCGUUUUCCUUUCCAAUUCCAUUUUGUUGAUUUCUUUUUUGCUACACUUGUCUCAAUUUUCGUUUUCUCUUCUUGCUAUUAGUUUCAUUUUCGUUUAGGGUUUCCCUUGUAUUUUCAUUUUCACAUUGUAAUUUUGAAUUACUUUUGUUGUUCAAAUGCCAAUUUCGUUUUCAAAGGUUCGUUUUAGUGGCUAGGGUUGUCGUUUGUGCAUAGGGGUUUUCGUUUACUGUUUGUUUUCUGUUAUGUGCAUUCCAAUUGUUGCACGAUGUUUAGAAUAGGUUUUGUUGUGUUGAAAUUGGUUGAAAUGGAAGCUUAAUUCUGUUGGGUUGGGACACUGGGAAAUUGCAUUGUUUCAUGAGAUUAUUGUGCUCAAUUGCUAUGUUGUUCUUACGUGCCCUGCAUCAUAAUUAAAUCUGUUUUGGCCAUUCUAAUUAGGAUAUGCUUGGUGGACUAAUUGGGUUAAUUAUCACUUAGUUAGUUAAACUGCAUGGUUCAUAAUUGAUUAAAUAAUGAUGCAUUAUGUUUGCUUAAUUCACAUUUUAUGAAAAUGGGAUUAGUCUUCGCUUAGUUGAUUAAUUUUAUUAGAUUAAGGGUGAGAGGAACAGUCAAUUCUUGUUAAUCUAGGAUUGAAACAAAUGCAAUUGAACUAGUGGCCAACCUGUUUUGCAUUAUUGUUUGAAUUCGUGCUUUAAUUUGGUAGCUUUAGAUCACAAAAUUGUCCAUAAACCAUCCCUACCACGUGUUUGAUCUAAUUUCUGAAUCACAAUUGGUCCUUGAGAGACGACCUAGGGGUCAUUCUCUUAGCUUAUACUGCAUUUAAUUGCUCAUUAAAUUUGAUUUGGGUACGACCUCGAUCAAUCAUAAAACUGUUCAUAAACCAACCUCACCACGUGUUUGAUCAAUUCCUAAACCACAAUUGGUCCUUGAGAGACGACCUAGGGGUUAUUCUCCUAGCUUAUACUACAUUUAAUUGCUCAUUAAAUUUGAUUCGGGUACGACCUCGAUCAAUACGGUAAUGCUCAUGGUGUUGUUCAUGAUUGGGAUUAUCAUGAUUGUGGUGUAUCUAUGGUGAUAAUGAUCAUGGUAUUUGAGAUGCUUCAAGUGAUGAUAUGUUGGUAGCAGUGUUACUAUAAUGGUUAUAAUAAGUAGUUAGCUUAGGUGCUAAUGAGUAGAUAGACCAAGGGUGUAUGUAUGAGAUGUUAGUAAUGACAUCAAGGGUUAAAGACAAGGGUCGAGGAUCAAGGGUCGAGGAUGAAUAAUCGAGGCUCGGGGACUGAGUAAUUGGAUAUGAUUGAUUUGUUAUAUUUAGAGGUUUAGGAAUCUUGUUGUUAUUACUUCUAUGUAUGGGGUGUUUGAUUAUUAUUGAUAUAAUCAGUAUGUGUUUGUUUUUAUGAUUGUUUUAUCGAUAGCUUACCCUAUACAUGUGUGUUUUGUGUGUUUGUGAAAAGGAUAUUAUCAACGAUGAUCAUAUAAUGUAUUAUACAUGAGCAGAUGAUAUUGCAGGUGUUCUAGAAGCAUGAUAGAUGUGAGGGAUGAUGGGGGAAGGAUUUGGGUUUCUUUAAAAAGUUCUUUUGGUAUAAACUUUUGAAACAAUAUAAUUGUAGUUGUUUUAUUUCCUUAAUCAUUUUAAUUACUUUUGGAAUAAUGUAAUUGGACAAGACUUUUAGAACUAAUAUGUUUUGAAUAAAUUAUGCAUGUUAAAUGUUAAGGAUUUUGAAAAAUGCGCUUCCACGCUAUAAUGAAGUUUAUAAAUAUUCGGUUUUUGUAAUCCUCUAGCAUCCCAGAAUUUGGGGUGUUACACUUUGCUUAGCUCAUUAUUUCCUUUCAAAAAAAAUUCUUGUAUUUUCAAAUUGAAACAUAUUUUAGCUAAUGUUGCACACUCGGGUAGAACUUUGUCGUAGGCGUCAGUAAGAAACUCGAACUCAAAAAAGUUUAUUUCGCAUUUGUUGUCGUCUGAGAAAUAUAUGAGAUCUUCUGCUUCAAUUUCUAAGAUGUAGUUUGUACUUGCGUUUAUUCUUGAGUGUGUACUGUUGUAAACGUGAUGAGCUUCAUCAUUGUUGCACUUGAAGUUUUCCAUUCUUCAGGAUAAUUUCUUCAAGUCCUGCUAAGAACUACCCCGUGAGGUUAGCUCUGAUACCAACUGAAGUACUUGAAAAACACUACAGGAGGGGAGUGAAUAAUGUUAAGGGAAAACAUUUUGCAGCCCUUCUGAUAUAGCACGUUAUCUAGCUCUUGAAGUUUUCCUUUAAAAUAUUGGAGGCUCGACUUAAUAGAUUUGUAAAGUAACAAUGUUUAACGUGCUAUUUAGAAUGUGGAUACUACAAUGUUUUGUUAAGAACUUCCUUUAUAGUAAAGAUCAUUUAUCAUGGAAGAUUCUUAUGUUUAGAAAUAAAGCAUGACUGCAGGUUUUCACAAGAGGAUUGUUUAGGUAAGAGAAGAGACAAUUACUCCAUAGAUUUUACAUUGGUUCCCUCCAUCCGAGCUACGCCCAGUAUCCUCCGAAGACGGUUCCACUAUAAUCUUCACACAAUUACAAAUGAGUAUUAGCAUUACUCCGGGUACUCAGCAACCCCACAGAGAUUUCCUUUGAGUAUUAGAACCAUUCCCAGUACUCAGUAACCUGCCGACAUUUCCUUUGAAUAUUCGCACUACUUCUGGUACUUAGCAACCUUGUCAAGAUUCCUCAACUCAAAAAGUCAGUUGUAAUUAUUUUAAAUCUUCACAUGAUUACAAAUGAGUAUUACCACCACUCUUAGUACUCAACUACCUCGCCUAGAUUUCCUCUGAGUAUUAGCACCACUCUUGGUACUUAGUGUUGAUAGGGGGAGCACUAUGUUAGCUGAACCCAAUCCUAGUAUGUUGUUUUUGAUGAUGACAAAACAUCAAUAGCAACAACACAUGAAUAUUGUUAUGGUCACAUUUGUUGGACAUAUUGUGUUGGUGAUGCAUAUUUUUGUGAUUAUGAUGAGAUUAUAUCUGUGCAUGCUCACUAUAUGUUUUAUGGAAAGAAAACCACAUGCACAAAAGCAUAUCUGCAAGACUUAAUCAAUUAUACUGUUGUGAUAAUCAAUUAAGGUCAUCAAACAACUUAGUUUAUGAACUGUGACAAAACAACUAGUUUUGAAUCAAUUACGUUAGUUGUUGAAUCAUUAAAACUCUUGUGUUUGCAUAUAUCUUUUUCAGAUGUGUUGUGAUGAGUUUUUAAGAAGAAAAGUUUUCAAAAUUUGCUUAAGUGAUAAACUUAAUUGAUUACUCUUUUUGUGUAUUCAAUUAAGUCUAUUAUAUUUGAAAACUGAUUGGAUGCUAGUCAUAACUGCUUUAACGGUCAUAUUUUUAAAUGUGUUUGACUAACAUUUAAUGUUAAUCGAUUACGUUAAUUGAUCAUUCAAUUAAUGAGAUGAGUUAGUUGUAAUACUGUUACAACAAUUUUAUGUAACCGAUUACACUACUAACCUAAUAAAUUACUUUGCGUCUAAUAUGACAGUAAUUAUAAAUCGAUGCGCUAUUUGUAUUUUUGUAACUUUUGAUCAAUCUAAAAUUGUCAUAUCUAAUUGUUUUUUAGUUUAGAAACUUUACAAAUUACUCACAAGCUUCAAGAAUCAAAAGCAUGAAGAAUUUGAAGAAUCUUGAGGAAUUCUUGAGAGGCAUUUGCUGGACUACAUUGAUUGAUCUUAUUAGCACGAAUGAAGGUGCAAAUGGUGUGAUCAGAGGAAGAUUUACAAUCUUUAUCUUGUUGUUUCCCUGGACGUGCAGUGUCAGGAAGAAAAGUGGUGUGCUCUUGACUUUGAGAUGGGAUAUCUCAAAGGGUUUUCUACAACAGGGAUGGGAGGUUCUGUGUUCGCAAGUGUUGUUGUUUCUAUAUUUGAUUGAGAGUUUGUCAAGUUUUUACAUUUGAGAGUUUCUCUGUAAAGCCUUGGCUGUAAUACUUUGAUCAUUAUAGUGAAUUACUCUCCAAUCUAAUGUUGAUUGGGAGGGUGACUGGAUAUAGGCAUUGAGACCGAACCAGUAUAAAAAAUGUUUGUUUUUCUUCUCCUUAUCUCUUUACAUUUACAUUUACAUCUACUAUUUCAUUCCACACACAUUUGCUUACUGCACAAGAAAGAUUUCAAGAACAUUAUAUUUUACGAAAAAGAUUUAAAAAGUCCUCCCCCUCCACCCCUCUUGGUUUUGAGAAACAAAAUUCAUCAAUUCUAACACUUAGCACCAUGCCAAUAUUGUCUUUGAGUAUUCUCAUCACUCCUGGUACACAACUCCCCGUCGAGAUUUCCAUUGAGUAUUUGAACCACUCCUGGUACUAGAUUAUCGCGCCUAGAUUGCUCAACUUAAAAGAGUUCAAUUGUAAGUAUUUUAAUUCUCUUCAGAAUUGCAAUCAAUGAUUGCUUACAAGUAGUUUAGACUAAAUCUCUCUACGAGAGGAUUUGAUUACAAUACAAUGCAGUUUAAACACUCGCAGGUGUUUCUAUCUGCUCUUUGACAAUUGUAAGAAAUUUUAUGCUUAAGCUCGAGAGUUUUUCUUUCUCUUCUUCUUUCUUCAGCUUAGAUGUAUUCUUUUCUUGGAGCUCUUUUUUCUCUUCUCUUUAAGAUAGAUAUGUCAUUGUAAGCUUUUCUUUUUGCUCUACGGCUAUCCUGUAUUCUAUCCUCUUGUUUUUCUUCUUGAGAGAUCUUUUAUUUAUAGGCUUCAUGAAUAUUUGUCCAUUAGACUGAGUUUGAAGUUUGUAGCUUUGAUACUUGUGUUUUCUCUUUCUUCUUUUCACAUCAGCCAUUGUGUAAGUCAACUUUGUCAAAGCAUACAUGCUUUUUUAGUCCUUUGCUUGAAGUAGGUUGUAUGAUCUUUUUAGACUUUGCUUCAAGAGAGGAACAUUCUAUGAUUAUCUUCUUUGUCUCUAACAUCCACAUUUUGAUAUUUUGUCUGUAGCACUAUGGAUGCGUGUAGAAUAGCAUAUCUGCAAAAUUAGAGUAAAAUGUGCAUGCAGUAGAUAUGACUUUUAUUAUCACUUUUGUUGUUUUUGAACGCUGAGCAUUUAAAGUCCUUUGAUGCUUGUUCAGAACAACAAAGUGUUUUUUUGUAUUUCCUACUGUUAGGUAGCAUUUUACAAUUAAGUUCUUUUAAUCCAAGAUACCAAGCGUAUAUAAGUACUUCAUCAUAGGAUGAGGUAUGUGCUUAGCUCAUGGUAUCAUCUGGCCAAGUAAAUGCUUAUUUGGCUUUUGUCUCUUUUUAGACAGAUAACGUUUAACUUGUUUAAGUUAUUUUAUGUUUUUGAUAGUUACGUCUCUUAAUGUUUUUGUCAAGGACAUUGUCUCUUAAGGUAUUUUAAGCAUUGAGCGUUUAACUCAAUUCUCUUUUGGACGCUUUUAGGCAAGACAUGGCCUAAACAUGCAUCUGGGUGUUUUAGCCUCUUUUUUUCUAUUUCCUAGGACCUAAGUGUUUUCCUAUGUUUUUCUACGUUAGGCUCUAAGUCUUGUGUUUUUACCCUAGGUGUUUUCUGAUUAUUAACCCGGUUUUAAUGUUAUUUGAUUAAACUUCAAAACAUGAGGUCAUUUAUUCGUUAUAGACGAUUUUGUCUUCAACAUAUUAAACCUAUACGCAUCGAGUCGCGGUUAAAUCGAAGCAUAUAAUGUUUAUAGACUCAGUUCUAGCAGAACCGAAGCAAAAGGAGUUGGCAAAACGCAUUAAAAAGUUUAGUUUCAAAAUUGACAAGGACAUUAUGCCUCGGUUCCCUUACUAUGUGAGGCAGUUUCUCUUACAAACUUGUCAUGUCAGCGAAUUUACAGAGCUAUAGAGGGAUUUUGAUGGGCUUUAUGCCUCAGUUCUCUACUUAAUCGAGGUAGUAUAUGCUUCUGACCUGCCAUGUUAGUGAAUUUGCAAAGCUGCAAAGGGAUUUUGAUGGGCUUUAUGCCUCAGUUCUCUAACUAACCGAGGCAGUAUCUCAUCCUAGAAAAGGUGUCAGGCGGAAAGCCUAUUUUGUAGGGGGAACAGGUGGACUUAAGUAGGGUUUUAUGCUUCGGUUGCUUCAUAACCGAGGUAAUAGACGUGUUUAUGCCUUAGUUGAGUGGGAACUAAUGCCUAUAAGUUCGCUAAAACUACAAAAAUGUCACCGCUUUUUCUUAUGCUUUAGUUUUCUGGAAACCGAAGCGUAUUGUGCGAGUUAAAAACACAUAGUUUCACUUAGCUCCACUUAGGGCUUUAGCCUCUUAAUGUUUAACCACUUCCAACACCUUUGACCAAGGGUGUUUCUACAAAUAAGAGAAAGAAAUAAGGGUAAAAAAGAAAAUAAUGAAAAAGAAAACCUAUCUAAGCAUAAACAUUUUUCCAAAACUAAUUUUUCUCUAAGGAGACUCGCUCAUCCAAGGAAAAAAAUUGCAAAAAAAUCAUUCUAAACAAAGUCCAAGCAACCCUAGGGAGCCUAGUUCUCCUGGUUGAGGAGUUGUACAAAAAGUUCAACGUGGCUCCCCAACCAGGAGAACUAGGCUCCCUAGGUUGCCUGGACUUUGUUUUUGAGUGAUUUUGUCAAUUUGUUUUUUUGCAUGAGUGACUUUCCUCAUCAUUAGUGGUGUUUAGUCUAUAACUUGGUACUAAUGCUUAUGGCUUUGAUCCUUCUUUGUUCAAACCAUCUAUCUAGGCUUUGACCUCCAAUAUUGAAUGAACUAAGGUGUCUUUUAAUGCACUAAACACCACCAAUGAUGAGGAAACACACUCAUCCAAGGAAAAAAAUUGAAAAAAUAACUCAAAAACGAAGUCCAGGCAACCCUAGGAAGCCCAGUUCUCAUGGAUGGGGAGCCACGUUCAACUUUAUGUACAACUCCCCAAGAUGCCUAUGGUAAUCGAUUACAGGGUCUUGGUAAUCGAUUACCAGAGACAUUUUGAGGAGUUGUACAAAAAGUUAAACUAGACUCUCUAGCCAGGAGAAUAUGCUCCCUAAGGUUGUCUGGACUUUGUUUUUGAGUGAUUUUUAAAAUUUUUACUUUGGAUGAGUGAGUUUCCUAAUCAUUAGUAGUGUUUAGUGCAUAACUUGGUCACCAAUGCUCAUGGUUUUGACAAACUUUUGUUCAAACCACCUAUCUGGGUUUUGUUCAAACCACCUUGGAUGAGUGAGUUUCCUCAUCAAGACUUCAAAUCAUAUUAGCAUUAGUAAUCGAUUACAAGAGGCAUUUUGGGGAGUAGUAUAAAAAGUUGAGCAUGACUCCUUAACCAGGAGAACUAGGCUCGCCAAAGUUGCUUGGACUUUGCUUUUGAGUUAUUUUUUCAAUUUUUUUCCUUGGAUGAGUGAGUUUCCUCAUCAAAUCUCACUAACUUUUUACUCAAUAACAAUGCUGAUUGGAAAUAUCUAAAUGUAUAUUAGCAUUGCCAAUAAUUAUUACAAUCAAUUUUCGUUGAGUUAACUUCACAAUGAUCUUUAUUUAGUAUUGUCAACCUCAUUUAAGAAAAACAUUUAAUACGCAUAUUACUAUAUCCAACGUAGGGAGUUCUAAGGGCACAACUCUUGUAACGUACGCGUCAUCCUUCCUUCACGCACUUGUACACAUCCAUUUCCUUAAAUUUUAUAAUUUUCUCUCUGAAACAAAUCCCACCCCUCGAGUCAACCCAUCUAACACAUAACUCAUUCAAGACACUCCUACCAAUCUUAACAUUGUCGUGCAACUCUAAAAACCAAACAAAUGGUGUCUUUUUAAUAAAGAUCCUUUGCUCUAGAUUAUAUCUUCUAUUCAAAGUACCAACUAACUUGAGUUUGAAACAAUGUCGCACACACAACUGCAUAAAAAAUAAACUUAUUACAUCAUAACAAUCCAAGAAAUAAAAAAUGAAAGGGAAAAGAGGAAAUGGAAAAUGAGAAAGGGAAAAGAGGAAACACGAAAGGGGAAAGGGAAUAGCAGAAAUAUUUUACUCCCAUCACUGGUGAACGUUGAAUGAUAAAACAAAUUGUCCCAACGAAGGAGGGCAACGUCUUGGCAUCGAUGAUGUGGAAGAAAUAGAAAAGGAAUCAUUGUUUUGCUGGAGAAGAUGACAAUAAAAGAGAGAGCAUAGAUAUGGAGAAGGAAAAUGUUUCUCAAGAGAUUAAAAUGAAAGGAUAUUUUCAAAAUCCAAAAUCAGAAACCCUAAAUACACAUAAUCUACCUUUCCACGUCACAUUUAACAAAUAAAAUAAUGAUUUCAAACGGGCCAAUAUAUUGUUGACAUGUGGUCGUUAUAAAAAUGUUAUUAACUUUUAAGUUGUUAACAUAUCAUAUCCUUCUUUUUAAAAUAGGUUAUAGAUUGAUCUAAUUUGACUUACGAAAUUGACCCUAUAUUUUCAGGUUAUGAGAAUCGAACUAUUCCAAGUUAGCAUGUUAAAAUCUCUGACCCAACUUCUUUUUUUUUUCGGGGUAGUAAACUAUACCACCAAGCCUAACCCAUUUUAUCAUUCUUAAACAAAAUAAAAAAAAAAUGAUCUUUAUACUUUAAUUUAAAAUAUUAUGAUAUAGAAUGAAACAAAAUGAUGCAUUUAUUUAAAUGGUAGAAUCAUCAAUCAAGAGAAUCUUAAUAAACUUACUGACCCCCUUAAAAAAUAAAAGUAAGAAACGAUAGUUUCACACUUCAUAAUUAUACUUCCUCUUCACAACCCUUUAUAAUAUUAUUUUAUUUAAUAUCCUACUUUAAUAUGUUAUUAUUAUUUAAGUUGGCAUAUUGAAAAGUUUGUGUUGAAUCUAACCACCUAACAAUCUAAAAAAAAUACAAUUAUUAUAGGAAAAAUGACAAAUUAUCAUUACCUGCUCAUCAUAUACCUUCCUCUCAAUCUCAUAUUUCAAAUUAGUGUUCUUGGAGUCCUCAAAGUUAGCAAAUAUCACUAACUAAACAACUCUUAGGUGAUAUAAUGCUAUAUAAUUUAUAAUAUUAUUAUUUUUAAAUUAUAUAAAUCAAUCAAUAAUUUUAUUUUUUUAAAUUAAAUUUCUAGAAUUUAAUUAUAUAAAAUUGUAUAUUAUAGAGUUAUUAAAGUUGUAAAUUAUGUAAUUAAGUUAUAUUUAUAUUAUUUAAAUAGAAAAUAAGUUGUUUAUGGUUUCGAAGAGAAAGCAAAAAAGAGUCUUGAAGUUUUAGACCGAAACCAAACUCACCAUUUGAAACUACCAACUUAUAUUCUUCUAUGUCAUAAACUUAUGUGUAUAUAAUAUAAUGGUUCAUUAGAGCAUUUUAGAAUGGAACGCAUAAAUUAAUUAAUUGAAAUUAAUGAAUGAUUAAUUUUGAAUGGAAAGUGAAAUAAUACAAAAUGGAAAAACUUUGUUGAAUACAAAACUAAUUGUUUUAGUAGAAAAACGAAUCUUAAUUGUCCCUCUUCAAUGCUACCUAAUAAUAAAAACUAUAUAAUUAUUAAUACGAAAUAAGAACUUAAGUUAUUUUAGCGUUAUGGGUGGCCCUUUUCGACCACGAGAGAAUAAAGUAGAAUCAUGGUUGAAACGUACACCAAAGAGUAUUCGUAAGUCUAAUUGAAACUUUGUUCUUAAUUUAAUAAAUUAUUAUAGGUCUUUUUCUAUUUCAAUGCUUAUUGUUAAAACAAUAGAGUUUCUAGAAACAAAAUCCUGCACAAGAAUGCAGGUAUCAAUAGCGUCAGGCAUGACGUUGAUCGAAGUAAGGGGCGGCGAGUAAUAAGGAAACAAAAAAGAGGUUGUUUUGUUACUUAAGAAACAAAUUAAUAGAAUAAUCUAAGGUAUAAUUUGCCCCCAAGAUGUCAUCACCAUAGAGGUAUCAUAUAUGACUGGCAAAGAAUCAGAAUAUAUUAUGUACUUAUUGCAUGAUCAAAUUUGAAAAUGUUAACUUGAAUGGAUCUAGAAGAUAGUGAUUGAGAGGAUUUGAAGAUAAAUUUUUUUUUGUUGUUUAUUUAAAUAGAUUUGAAAAUAAGUGAGAAUAAAUUUGAAAGUAAAUUUUCUAAUCUGUCACAUAAAUUAAAUUCUACAGUAAUUCUCAUAAACUUUAUUUUUAAAUUCAUUCUCGUUUAUCUUCAAAUUUAUUCAAAUAAACAAAAAAAAUUAUCUUCAAAUCUUCUCAAAUUCAAUCUAUUACUCUCCUUCAAAUCCACUCAAGUUAACACAUCUAAAAAAAUUUAAUAUAUAUAUAUAUAUAUAUAUAUAUAUAUAUAUGGAAACAAUUGAAUCGAAGGAAGUGACACAUGUAUUGAGUAUUGAAACAGAAUCAAAAGAAGGUAGAGAAAGAGUUUUAUAUAGCAGCAGAAGGAGUGAAACUGAGAAUGGAAGAAUGAAUAACUCACUAUUAUUAUAACAGUGUUGCACGGUUUAUAUACAUGCAGAAAUGCAGUAACAGAAGUAACGGAAAGUGCUUUACAAGUAAAACAGGACUUGAAUUAUGCAGACAUUUUGACAACCAAAGAGGUGGAAAAUGAGACUUAUCAGGUAAACAGGAUGGAAAAGACAAGUCGAGUAGAGAGAACUUGGUUUGAAACAACUAAAGAAGCUUAAUCGAGACACAAAAUAUAAAAGUAGUUGGACCAAAGUAAAAAAACAAUUAAGAGAAAGAGGAUUGAAAUUAAGAGUAAAGCUAAUUCGAAAAGAAGGAUAAAAGUAAUAACUCCAGUAGAAAGUGGAAGCAAGAAAGAAAUGUGACAUGAUGGGGAUUAGUUUUAAGAUAGUUAUUUCUAUGUAUUUCUUUUUUUAUUUGUCAAAAUAGGAAAAAUUAUAAAUAACUAGAUCAAAUGUAAAAAAUGAAUGGCAAUUGUGGAUACAAAUUCAAACAUGCUGAAAACACCACGAACAGGAAAAAAAUGUCAAAAUUAAUGUUGAUUAUAAUAAUCUGUGUUAAUAUUAUAGUUGAUUUCCUUUAUUAGUUUUUAUUCUAUUAUUCGUAAUUGACUUUUCUACCAACCUUCGUUACCACCCUUUUCUUUAUCUACCAUCCUCCAUUUUACUUUUAUUUCACUAAAAAAACGAACAAAUAACGUUUUUUCUUAAUAAUAGAUAGCGUUUUUUAAACACUAUCUAUUAAUAUAUAACGUUUCUAAAAAAGCAUUAUUUAUUAGAUAACAUUUAUUUAAAUAAAUAUUAUUUAUUGUCAGAUAUCAAUGGAUAACACUCUUUUAAAUAAGCAUUAUCUAUUUAUGGUUUAAAAUUGUCUAUUGUUAAACAUCAACAAAUAAUGCUUAUUUAAAAAAGCGCUAUCUAUUGGUCUAAAUUUAAAAAAAAAAUCAAUAAAAUAUUUAAGAAAAUAUAAAAUAUUUUCAAAAGAAAUUAUAAAAUAUUGAUUCUAUUAUGUACAAACCUAUACUAUCUAUUGGUUCUAUUAUAAAGAGAAAAAUAUAUAAUACUAAGAAAAAUAUGACAAAGACAAAGGUCUCAAAAAGAAUGUAUAUUAUUUUAGUGUAUGAAUAAAAACUAUUGGUACAACCAUAUUUCAAAAUAUAAUCGUUGAGUCAUUCAAUUUGUAUCGUGACAUGACAAUGCUUUAUAAGACAAUAUAUAAAGCAAACCAGAACUCCAGUAAACUCCAAACAAUUUUAAAUAAUUCAUGUUUCAUUUUAGAAUCUUAUGUUUCAGAUUAAAUAAUUUUAAAUAAUUCAUGUUCCAUAAUUCAUGUACACCGAGAGGUAUGGCACAUUCAAAUUAAGAUAAUUAGAAUCUUAUGUUUGAGAUUAAACAAUCAUGUCCAAGUCAAGAAAAUCAAAAUUCCCGUGUAACACUAAAAGAAAAGCAACGUGCAAUUAUAACAUAACAGAAAUUAUUUACCAGCACCUUAAUAUCAACCACAUGUACUUCUAAUACCAUUUUAGCUUCUAAAAUACAUUUCCAAAGAAACUUCAAUCACAUAACAACAACCUUAUCAUGUCCCCCUUCAUUUCUAGUCACAGUCCUUAGAGGGUGAGCUUCUGUGUUGAAUACCCAUUCAUCUAAUAGGAUGAUUGAAGAAGGCGAGAAGAGAAGAUAAAAAUACUUCAAGGUCUUUACAAGAAAGAAGCUUAACAUCAUGUUGUCUUUCACCCCACUAUUAACCUGAGAAAUUUGAACAAGUUAUGCCAAAUGAGUAAGCAAAAUAGUUGUCAGGAAUAUCAAAUGGUAUCAAGCAUUAGACAAACAUCAAAGGAAGCAAGAAAGAAAAUGGGCAGAAAUCAAUAGAGUAUAUUUCUAUACUAUAAAAUACAACCAACCUUAAUUUAUCUACAGUUAAACCAUAAUAAUAUAAAUAUAAUAAGGGGAAACAACAUAUAUUCAACUAGUGCCAAAACUAAAAUCAUUGUCUUUAUAGUUCAACUUACCUUACUAUGUUGUGGCCUUGUAACAUAUCAGCUUGCAGAAUACCACUUUGGUCACUGCUUGCAUGUUGACAUGGCUGCAUAAUGGAAUAACAAGGUAAGAUAUAUUUUAUGUAACACUUUUUAGGAAAAGUGGAUGUCUUGACCAAAAUUUAUCUUCGCAAAAACAUUCUUAAGUUGUGAUGUCCAAUCACCCUAUGUUCUAUUGUGAAAGCUUAUAGUCAUCUCCUGGGGCUGAUGUAAUAGACAAAGGAUGCCUAUAGAACAACAUUUUCAACUUUGUCAACACCAAUUUUUGAUAGUAUUGUGUAACAAAUCAAUAGUAACAAAAUAGGAAUGCUCAUUAUACCAUUGAAAUGGAGAAACAUCUGAGCAGUUAACGAAAAUAUAUUAUCCACUAGAGUAUUUGAUAAUAAGUUAGAUUAACAUACAACUUAAACUAUGGCAUAAUGAUAUCAUCAUCUCAAGGUCUAAUCCAAUAAAAGCUAGAAUAAGUGUGAGGCGUAAUAUAAUAGGUAAUUUAUAGGCUUAAGACUAGGAGGGAACGUGCAUAGAGACGACCACCCUGUUGCUAGAAUUAGGAGUGGUUUUUUUUCUGGAAGUUCAUAACUGAGGUAGAGAAAAUGUAGAAUAGAAGGGAAAACAUUAUCACUCGCAUUUACUCUUUCAAGUGGAUCUUCUCAAAAAUUGGUAUAGCCUUUACGGCAAUGCAUGUUGCCAUACUAGGAGUCAUUCUAUUCAUAACAAAAACGUUAAUGGACAAGUAUAGGAAGCUUUUUAAGUAAAAUGGCCAAUUAAGAGAGAAUCUGAAUCUUAUGAUUGGCUAAGAGAAUUCCAUGCAUCUCAAAGACUGGGCCAAGCAUGUCCUUGACCGGAAAUAUAUUGUUUUACUCUAGACAACAAAGAGCAAACCAAUAUAUGCUGAUAUAGGAAACUACAAAAUAUAUCUUACCAAAAUGUAAAAAUCUCCUUGCCAACCCUUAUAAUGAACCCAAGGAAUUCCAUAUCAGCCAUUCAAAGUACUUUCCAAUUUAAAAAAUAUAAAAGUGAGAACUAUAUAAGUAUCAUUAGAUCAAUUGAAGGUAAAAGUAUAUUUUCUUAAUAAUCGUGUUCAAAUACGAAAGGAAGAUUACUCACCUGUAAACUUACCACUCAUAAGGAAGCCCUUAUUUGCAACCCUUACUAUACUUAUGUGCUCAAACUUAAGUGCAACAUGUAAAAAAGGUUAAAAUAAGAGAAAAAGCAAUGUAUCUUUCAGCAUAGGCUCACUAAUACUUCAUUAUCCUUAAAGAGAUCGAAAUCCCGUGUAAUACAUCAACCACAUUAGGACCUGUUCGACUAGAGCCACCAGUUAUACCCUACUACCAAUAUAAACUUGACAGAAAAAGCCCUUACCCAAUUUUCUUUCUAUCUUAAAUAUAGGAUAAUUACCAACUUGUACCUACAAUUAAUGGAGGUGAAGUAGAAUAGGAAAUUGAACUUAAAUGCACAUGUUUUCAAAAUAAUCUCCUCGGAACAAUACUUUUAAUUGCACAAAGUAUCACAUAUUGUUAGGAAAAGGCUUCAAGAUGUUGAUAGGGGAAGCGAUAUGAGUGUUGAACCAAAUCCCUAAUGUGUUUGAUUUUUUAUGAUGACAACACAUUGACUGUAACAACACAUAGAUGUUGUCAUGACACAACAAAAAUAUGCAUUUAUGAUUGAUAAAUAUGUGGCUAUGAAAAAUGCUUAUUGUUGAUUAAUACAUAUGUUGACAUACUAUUGAUUUUGCAUACUACUAUGAUUAUGAUGUGUUUAUAUCUUUGUAUGCAUAUUGUAUGUUUAUGUGUGAUGAAAACCACAAGCACAAACGCAACUCCGCAUGACAUGUAGGUGUGGUUCUUGGGGUGUGUUGCUUUGAUUAUACCCAUGGGUGGUUUGGGCAGUAACGAUUUAGAACUACAACUAGGGUUGCAUAAGGAGAAAGCCUAUGAAUAAAGGGUUUGCAAAGGGUGUUUUUCUUUCGGGUUCAUUUCUCUUGUAGAGAAAUUUCAUUCAGUUCAGAUGGGUAGGCACUAGAGUGGCAUUCAAGUGAAGCUAGUACUAUUGGAUGUGUGGUUUUGAUCAUUAACGUGCAUGGGUGCUUUAGUUGGGGAACUAGUCUGGAGCUAUCAUAUUAUAAAUUGUGUUUGGGGUGAUGUGAGGAAAAUACUUGUUCUUUUACAAAAUGCUAGGAUUUAUGUUUGGUUGUUAUGUUAUUUUACAAAAGGUACAUAUGAAUAUGCAUCAUCUUUGGUGUGUUGCAAGAUUUUGGGUUAUUGUAUGGUAUUUUGUGAUGUUCCUAGGUAGUGAAAAAAAGGCUUUAACCAAAUGAUGUGAUGGUAAUGGUAUAUUGUUUUCUUUUAUGCACUUUAUGUCGUUAAUAAUUGUAAUUGAAUUAAUUUUUGUGUUGCAUAUUAUUAAAUGAUUAUGAAGUAUUUGAAUAAUGUGCUCUCUGUGAAAUUAGAAUACUUUGGAUGAAGGAUUGUGUUAGUGUGUUUGAUUAUGAUUAGUUGAUAUUGAUUGUUGUACUAGAUUCAUUAAGCAUUAUAGGUGAUUCAUGCUAGUAUAAGUUAUCACAGUUGAGAAUGAUAUAUUUUUCCUGUUAAAUAUGAUUGCAAUAGAUUCAAGUGUAUGAGUGUAGGCUUUAAUUGCACAAUGUUUACGUGAAAGAUUGUUUUAAUAAAAUUGAAGCAUGAUAGUGUGACUUGGGUUACAGAUGGUUGUUUGAAACAUUGUUUUGAUGAAUAAUGUAAGCAUGAUCAAUUUGUAAUUAGGUGUUAAAACUUGUACAUGAUGCCAUGCCGAUGAAUCUUUUUAUGAAUUAUAGGUGGUUUUUAAGCAGGCAUAUUUAUGGUUUGGGGAUCUAUAUGUAAAUUGUUCUAUAAUUGAUUUAGUUUUAUGUUGAAUCUCUGUAGCUUAUUGUUUGCAUGAUCAGAAUAUAUGUACAAUUUUCUUGCUAUUUAUAGUUGUGCAUAAAUUAUGGUUUUUUUUUAUGAUGUACAAUACAUUAAGCAGUUUGUUGUGAUCUUCUUUUAAUUUGUUUAGGAAUUAUUUUUGUUAUUGUAUUAUGAAAAUUAUGUGCUUAAAAGUUUAUGUAAUUUUGGAGGAGUUUAUGAAGUUUAGCAUUAUCUAUGUUUUCAGGUGAUUGUAAUUUUUGGGGACAAAACUUCUUUCAAGGAGGGGCGAAUGCAUGAUCCGAGAAAAUAUGAGUUUUAAAAAUAAAGUAAUUUUGAGACUUUGGGUUUUUCUUUGGAAAUUAGUGUUCUUGAGUGUAUAUUUUGGUUAGAACAUAAUUAUUAUGUUAUUUCUUUAUUUUAUAUUUUUGUCUAGGGGCAAAAGGGUAUUUUACCUUUAUUUAACCUUUAUUUAAUUGGUGUAGAAAUUAAUUAAGGGGUGGUUUUGUGUUUAAAAACCCUAGAAACACUGAAUCAAAGAGAUAAAAUAAAGGAAGAAAGUAGAUUGGCGUUCUGGGAGAAGAAGAAAGAGAGUGAGGGGAAACUCUUAAUGAAAGGAAGAUUGGUGAUGUUUUAGGGUUGUAGAUAAAAGCCUUAUGAUUGUCCAAGGUAUAGGGAAGCAUACCUUUGUUUAGGAGAAAAAGUUUCGCAUCAACAGCUUUGUUUUUGGAGAAUUUUAUAAAAUCUACAUUGGUGUUUCUAUCGUUGUGAAGUCAUUCACAGUUAGAUCGGGCUGAUUUUUUGUCAGUGGGUUCCAGACGUAUGGUUCUUCGUUCUGACCAUUUGGAUCGUCAAUCGGAGGUCUAGUUUGGGAGAAAACAGCUAGCAUUAGCAACUCUGUUGUGGAGAAUUUUCAUCUUCUUAGUUCCUAUAUGGUGUUUUUAUCGGAGACUUUUUUGCAUCCUAUUAUUGGGGGUAUGAUUGAAUCUGACUGAUUCAUGUGAUGUAUUAUAUGUUUAAGUAUGUUUACAUGGAUAUCUGAUUCUUGAAUGCAUGUAUGAUGUGUUAACUAUGUUUCCACGUGAUAUAAGGUUGAUUCAUGUAUUUUUGUUUUAUUCGGAACAAAUUGAUUAUCGUUAGUUAUAUUCGAUUAUCUACACGUUGGUUUUGAGUAUGGUUUCGAAAAUAAACGAUUAUCUAGGAUGAUAAUUGAUUAUUCCUUCCUGUGUGAUUGUUUGGGUAAAUUUCACUGAGAUAAUCGAUUAUAUUAAGUGAUAAUCAAUUGUCAAAGUGUAUUUUGGUGAAAAAUGAUGAAUGGACAUGAAUCAAGCCUAAGGAGAUGUGGAACAUGAUGAUAAUCACACAUUGCUGUUAGUAGUUAUGUUUAGGGUCAGUUUGACUUGUAGUUGAAAAUGAAGCAUGAGUGAGUUUUAAGAUAUACCUAAGUAUGUGAUUGAUGAGCAUGAGAGUGAAGGACAAGUCUGCUUGUUGUACCUUCUACAUGUGGAUAGGUAUUUCAUUUUGCCUUGUGUGCAUUAGAAGGAGAUUAUCUGGAGGGGAGGUUACAACAUAGUCAAAGAAGGUAGAAAAGUGAGAUGGACUCUUUCUGUUAUGAUAUUAUGGUUAGUAAUAAUCAUAAUGUAUUUUGUUAUGUGGUUAAUUAUGGUUAGUAUAAUAACAAAAUACGUACUUUAUUAUGACUCCAAAUAAAAUGAAAAAUAAUUUUAGAAUUCAUUUAAAACUAUUUUAUUUUACAAAUUAAUAAAAUAUAAAUAAAAUAUUUAUUUCAUUAUUUUAUUUCUUGAAACAUGUAAUUUUAUAAAAAAAAUUAAAUACAAAAGUAAAUUUAGAAUUUUACCAAUUUUUAUUACCCACUCAGAAAUCAAAGUGUUUCAAUAUAUAUAAUUUACAUUUCAAAAUUACUACAAUAUUUUAUAUUUUAAAAUAUAUUUUAAAAUUAAAGUUAAAAAUAUAUCUUUCUUUAUUUAGAAAUAAACUCCACGAAUAUAAUUUAAAUAAUAAAAAAAAACUCUUUGAAUAUUUCUUUUUUAAUAGUUUUAUAAAAAAUUUAAAAAAAAACAAGGGAAAAAGGAAAUUAGUACAUUAGUUUAAUUCAUUAAAUAAAUCAUUGAUAAAGUUCUCAAAGUAAAGAAUAUUUAAAAAAAUAUAUGAUCUUGAAAAAGUUUAAGAAAGCAAAAUUUUGAAAAAUAAAAUGUAUAAAUUUUAAAAAAAAUCAGGUUACAGGGAAUAAAAGAAAUUUCUAAAAGUACUCCCAACUUCAUAAAUUAAAAUAAAAAAUAAAAAAAAUACAAAAUUUUAAAAUUAUAUUACGGAUUUCGAACUUUUUUAAAAUCAGAAUUAAUUAGUAAAAAAACACUUAUAAGCGAUAUUUUCAACUCACAUCAUUUACUAAACAAAUUUUAUCAACGUAAAAGACAGUUUUUUUUACAUGUAUACCGAGAUGUAUAAAUAAAUCUAUAGGUGCAAUUUUUCUAAAUGAAAGCUUCCAGUUUUCAAUGGUCAUCUUUAAUUAUGAUUCCCAUGUCUAAAACAUAUCAAUAAAAAUUUUCUUCAAACACGAAUGAAUCGGAAAUUUAAUUAUUAUGAUGAUUAAACAAAACUUAAACAUGUAUUCCGAUAGCUCGAAAAUUUCAAGCUUUAUCAGAUCUCCAGGACAAGAGAAGAAAUACAAACAAUAUAAAAACUUAGGAAAAAUAUGGAGAGAGAUUUAGAGAAAAGUUAAAUUAUCAUAAUCGAUUAUUGUUAUUAAAUCACUUUAAAUUACAGUAGAUUUAUACUUUGUGCAGAACCUAGAAAAAUGAAGUAAAGGAAAAUUCCACCUUUUCUUUCUUUCAAUUUUCACAUUACAGAUAAAUGAGAGCCUGCAGAGGAUAGAAGACUAAAAUACACAACAGAGUAUAUAACCCUUGAAACAAUAACUUAUCUAUGAAGCAUAAAACUUCAAUCUAAAACAAGGCUUAUAAAUUACAUUGGUAUGUUUUGUAUUCAGAAUAACGAACUACCCUUGAACGUCUCAUUAUAUUAAACAAAACUCAAAUAAAAAAAAUGACAUAAACCAUACUCAACCUGCAAAACUAAAUGUAAGUUUCAUUUGAAAAGCAACAUUGUAGACAAACGAUCAGAGAAAUAACACGGCAAACAAGCAUGUGAUACAUAAUAGAUAACAGUCUAUCAAAAUGUGAUCAACAAAAAAUUUAGCUGCUUCACUAAUAUCCCAAAGUAUCAGAGGGAACAGAUCCAGGGAUCAACAUAUAGAAAAGCAACACAAUAUAUUUAGCUUCAAGGGAACGAGUCAUGUGGGAACAGAACAAAUCCACACAGACCAGAUAGAGAAGCAUUCCUUAUGUUAAUUAAAGACUUGUAUCGCAUUGUCAAAGAUAUAAAAAAGCAUUCAAAUGACAAUAAAAAAUACACUUUAUAAAUAUCUGCAUAAUGUUUGAAAGUAAGAGCCUCAGAGAUCUUGGUGGAUAAGAAUCAUCAAAUGGGUAAUUCCCAUCAAGAGUAGCAAAUAUUUUCUAACAUCACGGGCUAUCAUAAAAUAAAAAGUAAAAUACAUUAUAAAAUAUAUCUAUGAAUCUAAAAAUAUAACAAUCCAUGUGUAUAACCAAUUUAUAGCAGAAACUCAAUCAAAUAAAAAUAGAAAGCAAUGUGUUUGAACACAAUGUUGUCAGUAGUAGCUGGUUGUAAAAUCAUAUACAAAAUCAGUGGGAAUCCGUCUGAUUUUAUCAUCAUUCAACAUCGCAUGUUCAAAACCUCUAAAAAUUCAAUUAUAAUUUAAAAAUAAAUCAAAAUAAUAAAGAAUCAUCCAAAUCCUCAAAAGAUAUUUAUCUAUCUUGUCACCAAGAAAUCCUAUCAAGAAAUAAGGAUACUCGGAGCUAAAGAUAGACAACACGUAUACUAAACAUAUACAUGCUAAUUAAAAUAAUUUUAAUAUAGCCUAACGAUAGAUUCAUUGACAUACCAGAUCGACGUACAAAGAAUUGCAAUAUUAGGCAAAAUUUCCAAUUGAAUAGAAUUGAAAUUAAAGAAAUAAUUGAAAUAUUGAAAUAGUAAAAGAACAUAUCAACCCUAAUAUUGUUGGACUCAGAGAGUUGCUUUCUGUGCUCAAAGAUGAAACCUUUAACAAAGAUCCAUCUCAUACAAGAGGUGUCAGAAUAAUCAAGCACUCUUCAUCUUUGCCCGAAACACAACAUAUCAAAUUUAGGGAAGAGCUGCAGAAGGAGGUGAAGGUAUUACAAACUAGGGUGUUUGGGAGAAGAGGUUUCAGUUUUGGAUCUUGGGAUUACACAAGGGAUUGUCUUAUUUAUAGGCCAAUUGUUAGGGUUUCAGUUUGUUUUCUUAAUAUGUUAACAUAUGGGCUUUUACGGGCCGGGCCCAUCACUCCUUUGACCCUUUUCUUAGGUUUCAUGUCCG